rnacentral:snRNA from 1 species
AACUUUCCCCCUGCACAAUCGUUUAAAUCUUUUGGCUUUUACUCAAGAUUUCCGUGUGUCGGAUACGGGAGAAGUUCUCACUAAUUUUUGGAGUGUGGUGCUUCCACCACGU